rnacentral:sRNA from 1 species
GGAUGUGCAGUCCAUCUAGCUGGAACAUCUGUUACUGCAUUGAUUGCUAAAGGUAUUUUAGAUGAUCAGGCUGUUGAACUAGGUGCCACUCCUUACUUCACUACCUCAUAUACAUAUCUCUCAAAGUUUACACAGUUGGAGGUGAUGACCAUCCCUGAUAGAGGAGGGUCAUUCUCUGGUCAGAGGUAGAAAAAUAAGGGUGUAUAUUCAGGGGUUUAUUUCCCUGCUCCAACCUUUACAUGAGCUCUUGAAGUCAAUUACACACAAUUUCUAUU